rnacentral:rRNA from 1 species
AUUGAACGCUGGCGGCAUGCUUUACACAUGCAAGUCGAACGGUAACAGGCCGCAAGGUGCUGACGAGUGGCGUACGGGUGAGUAAUGCAUCGGAACGUGCCCAGCCGUGGGGGAUAACUACUCGAAAGAGUAGCUAAUACCGCAUACGAUCUAUGGAUGAAAGCGGGGGACCGUAAGGCCUCGCGCGAUUGGAGCGGCCGAUGUCAGAUUAGGUAGUUGGUGGGGUAAAGGCUCACCAAGCCAACGAUCUGUAGCUGGUCUGAGAGGACGACCAGCCACACUGGGAGUGAGACACGGCACACACUCCUGCGGGGGGCAGCAGUGGGGACUUUUGGACAAUGGACGCAAGCCUGAUCCAGCACAGCCGCGUGCAGGAAGAAGGCCUUCUGCUUGUAAAAUGAUUUUGUACGGAACGAAACAGCUCUGGUUAAUACCCGGGGCUAAUGACGGUACCGGAAGAAUAAGCACCGGCUAACUACGUG